rnacentral:rRNA from 1 species
GACGAACGCUGGCGGCGUGCUUAACACAUGCAAGUCGAGCGGUAAGGCCCUUUCGGGGGGUACACGAGCGGCGAACGGGUGAGUAACACGUGGGUGACCUGCCCUCAGCUCUGGGAUAAGCCUGGGAAACCGGGUCUAAUACUGGAUAUGACUCCAUGACGCAUGUUGUGGGGUGGAAAGCCUUGUGCGGCUGAGGAUGGGCCCGCGGCCUAUCAGCUUGUUGGUGGGGGAUGGCCUACCAAGGCGACGACGGGUAGCCGGCCUGAGAGGGCGACCGGCCACACUGGGACUGAGACACGGCCCAGACUCCUACGGGAGGCAGCAGUGGGGAAUCUUGCGCAAUGGG